UACAAGUUUAUGACUAUUUCUCAUUUUCUCCAUCGAUUUACCUAAUUCCCAAAUCCUCACUUCCUCUGCCGACUCCUGCCGAUUCCCAACUCCCAAACUCCAAAUUCCCACUUCUGCCGGCUCCAUCUCCACCAGCUCCACCCAGCUUUUGCAGAUCCAUCAUUUCAAAGCUUUAUCAUUCAAAGCUUUAGAUCUAUUGCAAAAGAGGUAGUUGUGGACCCCCGUGAUGUUCUUUUGUUUUUUCUUCUACGGUGGUCCAACUUAAGGGCUUGAAGCAGAUACAUUGACUGGGGAACCCAUCUUGAGGCUGAUAUUGAUGGAAAUGGAGUUCUGGACUAUGGAGAGUUUGUAGCAGUGACGAUACACUUACAGAGGAUGGAGAAUGAUGAGCACUUUCGUAGAGCGUUCAUGUUUUUUUGACAAAGACGGAUUUUUAGCUAAUUUGGAUAUGACAAUUUUUGGUUGUUGUUUGGCCCCUUUUUAUGGCUUAUUUUUAGCUGUGUUCAAAGCUAUAUUUUUGCUGAUUUUUUGUGCUCAAUUUCUCAAUUAGCAGGCUGAUUUUUUGACAUUUUUUUGGCUGCUGUUUUUCUUUCUUUCUUUUUUCUUUUUGGAUAGCUCAUUUGCUGGUUUCUUUUGCUUCUUAAUGUAAUUAGAGUUGAAGAGCAUAAUUACAGCUUGGCUUGACGAUGAAUUGCUGAAGACACAAUUUAUAUUUGAAA